rnacentral:rRNA from 1 species
GAUGAACGCUGGCGGCGUGCCUAAUACAUGCAAGUCGAGCGAACAGAUAAGGAGCUUGCUCCUUUGACGUUAGCGGCGGACGGGUGAGUAACACGUGGGUAACCUACCUAUAAGACUGGGAUAACUUCGGGAAGCCGGAGCUAAUACCGGAUAACAUUUGGAACCGCAUGGUUCUAAAGUGAAAGAUGGUUUUGCUAUCACUUAUAGAUGGACCCGCGCCGUAUUAGCUAGUUGGUAAGGUAACGGCUUACCAAGGCGACGAUACGUAGCCGACCUGAGAGGGUGAUCGGCCACACUGGAACUGAGACACGGUCCAGACUCCUACGGGAGGCAGCAGUAGGGAAUCUUCCGCAAUGGGCGAAAGCCUGACGGAGCAACGCCGCGUGAGUGAUGAGGGGUUUCGGCUCGUAAAACUCUGUUAUUAGGGAAGAACAAACGUGUAAGUAACUGUGCACGUCUUGACGGUGCCUAAUCAGAAAGCCACGGCUAACUACGUG